GAUGAACGCUGGCGGCGUGCCUAAUACAUGCAAGUCGAGCGAACGGACGAGAAGCUUGCUUCUCUGAUGUUAGCGGCGGACGGGUGAGUAACACGUGGAUAACCUACCUAUAAGACUGGGAUAACUUCGGGAAACCGGAGCUAAUACCGGAUAAUAUUUUGAACCGCAUGGUUCAAAAGUGAAAGACGGUCUUGCUGUCACUUAUAGCUGGAUCCGCGCUGCAUUAGCUAGUUGGUAAGGUAACGGCUUACCAAGGAAACGAUGCAUAGCCGACCUGAGAGGGUGAUCGGCAGAACUGGAAUUGAGACACGGUCCAGACUCCUACGGGAGGCAGCAGUAGGGAAUCUUCCGCAAUGGGCGAAAGCAGGACGGAGCAACGCAGCGUGAGUGAUGAAGGUCUUCGGAUCGUAAAACUCUGUUAUUAGGGAAGAACAUAUGUGUAAGUAACUGUGCACAUCGUGACGGUACCUAAUCAGAAAGCCACGGCUAACUGCGU
rnacentral:rRNA from 1 species